ACAGUGCCAGCGAGAGGACGUACUUUGCGUAACGUCCUCGCCAAAAGAGAAAAUAAAAGAAUCGAAUCAAUUUGUGCUUCAAGUGACGGCGUCAUCUGUCCAAGAAGUGUUGGUGUAAAGCGUAUAAACAGUGAAUAGUGCAAGUCUAGCCGUGAAUAUUUUAACUUUUCAUUGAGACUGCAGCAAAACGCCUGCAGCACUGUGAAGUAGGUCACAAAAACGCGCGCGCCACAAGAUGGCGGACGACGAGCAAUUUUCCUUGUGUUGGAACAAUUUCAACACAAAUCUCUCGGCUGGAUUCCAUGAAUCCCUCAUCCGGGGCGACCUGGUGGACGUAACGUUGGCCGCCGAGGGCCAACUAGUUAAGGCACACAGACUCAUCCUUUCAGUAUGCUCACCGUAUUUCCGGAAGAUGUUCACCCAGAUGCCGGCCAACCAGCACGCAUUCAUCUUUCUGAAGGACGUAAGUCAUUCGGCCCUGAAGGAUCUCAUCCAGUUUAUGUACUGCGGGGAGGUAAACGUGAAGCAGGAUGCUCUGCCAGCGUUUAUCAGUACAGCGGAAGCGCUACAAAUUAAAGGACUGACUGAAUCGGGAGAAAGCGCACCCCCACAUCAAUCACCCGCCAAAGAAACCUCCCAUCACAUAGUAUCGAGUAUGGUCAGCAUUCCAUCGAAUGCAUCCUCUCCCCGGGCGAAACCCAUCCAGAGGACGCGAAUCCAGUCGUACAAACCCGACUCGGAGGACGGAAGCGACCACGAGAAGAUAGUACAAAUCCAAGCCCAAUCCACCCCGAUCGUCGCAGCAAGCAGUAGCAGUAGUGGCCAAAGUGCAACCAUCGUCACCCAAGUCACCGCCGCCCCGCAACAGAUUCAGAUUCUGCAGCAGACAGCUCAGAAACGAACGAUUACGCAACGAGCCUCGAUUACCCCGCAAACGACCCAGAUCAUGAAACGAGCUAAACUGUCCGACCCGUUGGAAGCCACGGAACCGACUCAGAUUCAAACCGUGCAAAUUGUCAAACAAAUCACGCCGACGCCUCAGCCAUCGAUUAGCUCUGAACCGGAAUAUGUCGAAAUGCCAAUCGAAACGAUCAACCCUAAGGCAGAACCGGAAUAUGCUGAUGAUCCAUCGGAAGUCGAGGCCAUCGAUACGGAACACGAACAGGAACAGGCUCUAGCGGAACACGAAACAGACCAUGAUCAGGGCGCGGAUGAUUCUGCAAACUAUGUGGAAGACGAAACGUAUGGUGACAUGAGCAAAUAUGACGAAACAUACUUUACCGAGGGUGACGAUGCUAAGGCCGGGGCCUCUGGAUUUGGCACGGAAUCAUACACGGAAGGAACAUCGACAGACCAGGCCGCACAAGGAACAACGCCUACCGAUCGGAAGCAGCGUGUGUUUAUUGUCCAAGUGGCCCCCGAAUCGUACUUGAAGCAUGAAAUCAUCGGUACCGGAAUAUCGGGUCUCGGAAUGCAUCAAAAGUCGUCGCCGGUUGUCAACGACGAUGCUCGCGAGGAAGAAGAUCCAGAUGUAUCCAGCCUCGUGAUUCAUCGCCCAUCGCGAAAAGCCACCACCAAAGCCAUCAAAGCUGAUCGCGUCAGAGAAAGUGACGAGGGCAGCGACAUACACGAUCGUUCUGUGAAAGGAUUCACCUUUCCCCUUCAAACACCAGCCGAUGUUGAACUUUUGGAGAUGGCAAUACGUGGCCAACCGACCGUCAAACGUCAGUAUAUCGAUUUGCUGCGCAAAACGCAUAUGAACCACCCAAAACCCCAGGUGGCUUUCUUGAAACUAUUCACGGACAAUGCGCUGGCGAGUUUCAACUACAGUGGCCGUUGUAACUUUUCCGGUGAAAAGAAAUUUGCCAUGAAGGAUUACUGGGUGUUUACCGAAUGUGUUUACGAAGCCUGGUCGGAUUUUGAGAAACCAGCGGAUGUCCAACGUCAUCUCUCAAGCGCCAUCACCUUGGUCAACACUCGCAUCCGGGGGGCUCGAUUCCGCCACCGGAAAAAGAAAACUAACGAAUGAAAUUGAAAAAUCUUCUCAAUCUAAUAAAAGGGUUUAGAUUUGCUACUGAGUGUCGAAUCGUUUUAUUGACUUCUAUGUGCAUUUCUUCAUACAAGACAUUAUUAACGAACCUCCGUUCAACUAAUUCGUUAACAAUUACUUUUCAGGGAAGGAAGUUCUUAAAAUAAAAAACCGUAUUGCCUCUCUGAGACGUUUGGGAACCAUCGAUUCGACCAGGAUGAUAAUGGAGCUGCAGAAAAAAGUAGAUCAAAUGAUACGUCCGUGAACGUUUCGGUGGUUUUCGGGUUACAAUGUUGUACAGUAGAUAUUUUGUUCAGUAGAUUUCUGAUAAUUUUUUAAACAUUUGAUUAAACAAUGAGUAACAAGGACUCAGAGCGAAAGUAGCUUUCGAAAAGUACUAAAGUAUUUUUCUUUCAACAUAUGUAUCAAACCAAAUAAAAUUCCAGUUGCCUGAAAAUCCGAUUGAUUAUUAAUCGUACAAAGAAGCUCAACCUGUUGUUUAACACCCAUUGCUAAUACAGGUGAUCUGUUUCGAAUUUGUUUUAGAUUUUUACUCGGCGGAAGAGGAACGCGAUUAUAGAAGUUUUUUUCCAAGAAAAAACCCAUUCCACCUUGCCGGUUUAGAGACAAUCACAAACGAGCUAGCAGCGUAUGGAAUACAUUUUCCACUACAAACUGAUGAAGAAGUGGAAGCACUCGAGGCCGCCGUUCGAGACAAUCCGGACAUUCAAGAGAAAUAUAUUACAUACCUACGCAAAUGCAAGUCGCCCCGCAUGAACAUAACCAGCGCAUUUCCGUUCGUCUUUAGCGAUGAGUCACUGCUGAACUUCAACUACCACGGUAUGACGAAUCGGUCCAAAAUCCACAAGAAGAAAGCCAUGCGAGAUUAUAUCAUUUUUACCAACUGCUUACUCGCCGCCUGGCGAAACGACGGCUUGAACGAGGACAACCUGAGAGCCACAAUCACCAAAAUCAUAUCCCGGUUGAAUCAUAAAUUACGAACGCGUGGCUACCGGCAAAAAACGAUACCAGAUCCGUUUCAAUAUGAUGUGCUCGAAGAAAACGAGUGACCAAUAAAAGCGUUGUUUAAAUUUAGAA